rnacentral:rRNA from 1 species
UUACCCGCAGAAGAAGCACCGGUUAAAUUCCGUGCCAGCAGCCGCGGGUAAUACGGAGGGUGCAAGCGUUAAUCGGAAUUACUGGGCGUAAAGCGCACGCCGGGCGGUCAAUUAAGUCAGAUGUGAAAGCCCCGAGGUUUAACCUGGGAAUUGCAUUUGAAAAUGGUUGGCUAGAGUUUUUGUAGAAGGGGGGUAGAAUUUCCAUGUGGAGCGGUGAAAUGGGUAGAGAUGUGGAGGAAUACCGGUGGCGAAGGCGGCCCCCUGGACAAAGAAUGACGGUCAGGUGCGAAAGGGUGGGGAGCAAACCGGAUUAGAUACCCUGGUAGUUCAAGCCGUAAACGAUGUUGAAUUAGAGGUUGUGGUCUUGAACCGUGGGUUUCGGAGGUAACGGGUUAAAUUGACCGCCUGGGGGGUACGGCCGCAAGGUUAAAAAUUAAAUGAAUUGAAGGGGGCCCGCCCCAGCGGUGGGGCCUGUGGUUUAAUUUGAUGCAAAGGGAAGAACCUUACCUAAUUUUGACAUCCCGGGAAUCCUUUAGAGAUAGAGGAGGGCCUUUGGGAAAGUUGAGACCGGUGGUGCAAGGGUGUUGUCAGGUUGUGUUGUGAAAAGUUGGGGUAAGUCCCGCAAAGAGGGCAACCCUUAUCCUUUGUUGCCCGCAGGUGAUGGUGGGAACUCAAAGGAGACUGCCGGUGAUAAACCGGAGGAAGGUGGGGAUGACGUCAAGUCAUCAUGGCCCUUACGAGUAGGGCUACACACGUGCUACAAUGGCGGAUACAAAGAGAAGCGACCUCGCGAGAGCAAGCGGAACUCAUAAAGUGUGUCGUAGUCCGGAUUGGAGUCUGCAACUCGACUCCAUGAAGUCGGAAUCGCUAGUAAUCGUAGAUCAGAAUGCCACGGUGAAUACGUUCCCGGGCCUUGUACACACCGCCCGUCACACCAUGGGAGUGGGUUGCAAAAGAAGUAGGUAGCUUAACCUUCGGGAGGGCGCUUACCCACUU